rnacentral:ncRNA from 1 species
GACAUGCUAGCGGGAGAGACCGCGCUACACUCUGGUGUGGCCGGCGCCGAAGGAGCAACUGCCCCGGAAACUCUCAGGCAAACGGACCGCUAGCAUGAA